CCUACGGGUGGCAGCAGUGAGGAAUAUUGCGCAAUGGGCGAAAGCCUGACGCAGCGACGCCGCGUGAGGGAUGAAGGUCUUCGGAUCGUAAACCUCUGUCAGCAGGGAAGAACGGUCACUGUGCUAAUCAGCAGUGAAUUGACGGUACCUGCAAAGGAAGCACCGGCUAACUCCGUGCCAGCAGCCGCGGUAAUACGGAGGGUGCGAGCGUUAAUCGGAAUUAAUGGGCGUAAAGCGCUCGUAGGCGGUAUGUCAAGUCAAGGGUGAAAUCCCCGCGCUCAACGUGGGAACUGCCUUUGAAACGGGCAAACUGGAGUGUGUGAGAGGAUAGUGGAAGUCCAGGUGUAGGAGUGAAAUCCGUAGAUAUGUGGAGGAACAUCAGUGGCGAAGGCGACUAUCUGGCACAUAACUGACGCUGAGGAGCGAAAGCGUGGGUAGCAAACAGGAUUAGAUACCCGGGUAGUC
rnacentral:rRNA from 1 species